ACCGAGAAGUUAUGCUGCAAAAA
rnacentral:snRNA from 1 species